rnacentral:rRNA from 14 species
AGCUACGGCCAUAUCCAGAUGAAAAUAAGACUUCCCGUCCGAUCAGUCCUAUUCAAGCAUCUGAGAGCCUUACUAAGUACUAUAGUGGGUGACCAUAUGGGAACUGAAGGUGCUGUAGUU